GGACUAGCACGGGGCUGGGCACAUCACACACGCCGGGCAAAGAGGGUGGAACUGAGCAGGACAGAGGUGCAGGUCAAAGACCCAGAGAGGGGACACCAAAGGCUGGCUUCCUGCACUGGGCUCUUGGCCAGAAUCAGACGGGAACCCAGGUCGGCUCCAGAGAAGAAGCAGCUGCCCACUAAAGGGACCAUCAGGGGAGACUGCGUGGACAAGGUGCACACGUGCCGGAUGUAAGACAAGUACGCUGGGGAGUACGAGGCAGGAACGGCAGGCGUCGGUAACAAUGAU